AACGAACGCUGGCGGCGUGCUUAACACAUGCAAGUCGAACGAGAAAGUACUUCGGUACGAGUAGAGUGGCGCACGGGUGAGUAACACGUAGGUAACCUGCCCUUUUGUGGGGGAUAACCAGGAGGAAUCCUGGCUAAUACCGCAUAAGUUGGAAACAAGAAAGGAUGCUUCGGCAUUCGCGAAAGGAUGGGCCUGCGGGACAUUAGCUUGAUGGUGGGGUAAUGGCCUACCAUGGCGACGAUGUCUAGCUGGUCUGAGAGGAUGAUCAGCCACACUGGAACUGAGACACGGUCCAG
rnacentral:rRNA from 1 species